CAGGAACCGUUUGGAACCUAAAACAGAGCGCCUGGAUUUUCCUUUCUCAUCUUGUAAGCAAUUUCAAAAUUUCAGACUUCACCCCUGACUUCAGCCAUAAAGAUCCCAGCUAAAGCAAAUGGGAACAGAAUGAAAUCUCACUUCUACACUGUAAACUCUUUGCUAUUUCGGACUGGAAAUUGUUGGAACAACAGAAGCUUCAAAGAUGCAACCAGCACAAACCAUUGCCUCCAUGUGGAACUUCUACUCUUGGUCAUUGGAAGCAUCAAUAAAACCAUAUGGGUUUUUUUUUUAAAGCAAGCUGGAGGACAUACAAAAAUAACCUGGAAUACAACACUGAUCACCCCACAGCAUCACAUCCCAUUUGAAGAAGGGUACAGAUGUUUCAGGAACAGUCCACAGCUAUCUCCAAAAUGGCUACCACCAAACAUACAUUGCGUAUGCCAUAACAUAGGACUGUUGCACUACUACACCAGUAUGAGUUGUUGGGUGUUCCUAACACAGCAGAUCAAUCAAGCUGAUCAAUUUAAUGCUGCCUGAUGCUCCUGCUUGGAAAAAAAAUAAGCAAAAGAAUAUCAAUGUUUUAUCAGGAAAUGCUGGAGUCUAAUCCCUUGUCUUGCUGUGACCCAACAGGUACCAGAUCCAGCUUGUCCACCACAGAUAUUUGUCUAGAAAGACAUCUAUCUCAGUACCAAAGCUUGGUGGUACUCUGCCUUGAAUACUAGGUCUAUGAUGCUAAACUGAUUGAAUAGUGCAAGCAGGCACAACCAAAACAGACUCCAGCAUAGUCCAUUUGUUCAACCCUUCUGUUGCCUGUGAAUCGAGUGUAAUUCCAAAUGGGAAGCAGCUGGAAUAUGAACCAUAUCCAAUUUAAUUUGGUGUGAUGCUGAAUUGAGCUUUGACCUUUCACACUUAGAGAACAGCUGUCAAAGUUAACAGACAAUAACCUCAGUAAACUAGCUGACUCCGUGUGGGGUGCAUACACUCGCACACUAUGAACAUCCAUGCUUACCAGCUGCUACCUAACUACAUGAUGUUGUGUCAUUUAUCACAUACAAUAUCCUUGCAGAUGCAAUUGCACUGCAUUGAGCAUCUUGUCAAAAACUCUCCAUCAAGCUUGUCAGCCCUGAGCAGCAUAGCACAAGCUCAGAUAAGUCAUGAGGAUGCAUAUUAAACUAAUGAACCUUGUGACAGUCCAGGUCUGCCCUUUUUCCAUAUGUUUCUCCAACCCACACACAGUUCACUUGUCAUUGGGAUGAUCCUUGUGGCCCAACAUAUUGUGCUAGGACAACAUAUAGUUAAGCUAGCAAAAGGAUUGGUCUUCAGCAAGGGCAGAAAAAGAGUUGAUCCAACUGCCCACUGUUGUAGUUUUGCCCUUCCACACAAGUUUGCCCUCUUGAAAUAGGUUCAGGAUUGGCCAAGUUCACCAGUCUGCACUAAGCGGGGAGCCAGAAUAACAUCCCACAAUAUGGAUGCGAACAUUUACAGAUAACAAUGCGCAUGGUUGAUGACAGCCUUCUACUGAGACUUAAGGUCAGUUUGACCCUGUUGAAUGCUGCCAAAGGAGCCAUUAUUUGUCUCGACAAGAGGAAUAUUGGCUAAGUAGGUAGAUUUGCAAACUGAGUGUGUCCAAUACUACUUUCUAAUCAAGGCAUCUAGCUUGUUUCAUAUCAUAUGCAAAACUGCAUUCCAUUUUGUAUUUAUUACUUUUCAGUGAUACAGAGGUAGUUCAACACACGUUCAGUUAAACUACUGGAUCUAUACACAUAUAUGGAAAGUAAACACCUGUCCAUUACUUUUAAUUACUUUUUUCAGAAGUGGAAGAGGAAAAUGAAGCAUUCAACCAUUUUGGCCUUAAUGUUAAUUAUUUUCAAUAAAGAAUAGUACCACCUGUCUACUGUAGCAGAAAACAUAUGUUCAGUACAAUAGCAGGAACACCAAGUGCAGCAUGGCUCAUUUUCAAAACCCAAAUGAUUAAUCUUUUUUGUAACAAAUGCUUAGGAAAUAUUACUUCGGUUUUAAAGGAAAACAGCCACUAUCUCAUGGAAAAUGAGUUCUGUAUAUGCCAUUACUCCCUGAACUCUAAACUGCGCAGUGGGAAUAUCUACAUGAGAUGCUAGGUCACUCUAGUGACGAGCUAUGGUGAUAUAGCAUCAGUGGGCACUGACCAUGAUGGCGAUGCUAUAUCUCCAUAGCAAUGAGCUCUAUGUCACUGUAGCUCAUUGCUAUGUUAACGUAGCGUGUAAAAAUAAUGAUGUGCUUCUGGGACUGCGCAAUACUACUACUGAGCAGUCAUUUAGUACUUGCUUAGCAGUACCAAAUGUGCAGUCCCAGGCCCACGUAGGUGUGCCCGCUGUGUAUGAUGUGCAUUGUACACUAUUCCAAUACUUUAUGUAGUAUUUUCAUCUUUUCCAUAUGGGGAAACUGCACAGACUCUCCUACCUCCAUCAAUGCAAAAAAAAAAAUCUAUUUAGAUGCUGCUUUUACUGUUGCUUCACUGUUUACUACAAGUGAAAACGUGGCCCUAGUAAAGUAAACAUGAAGCACUGCGAUGAACUUAAAUGGGUUUAGAUUUUCUCCCUGUUUCAACAUCUUUCUAAGUCUCUUUAAUGAAUUUUCCAGUGUAUUCAAGCUCAGAAUCUGUAUUUAGGUAUGUUUAUGAUUAGAUUCCACCCAGCAGAGAAAUUAAGUGAUUAUGCCACAUUAUCUAUGGAAGUGCGAUUUGUACCUUCAUCUCUCACUUGUGAAGCAUUUUCAGCACUGCUCCCUCCUGAGCAGGGAUUGAGACACCAUGGAAAAUCAGACUAAGUAUUUUGCAUAGUAGAUCUUUCCUUGAAAAAAAUGAAACAUGGGCUAUAAGUGAGAUGAACAAUACAACUGGUAACAUCUCUCCAAAAAUGCUACUGGUUUGAAAGCACAAUCACAAUGUAACUAAUCCGGACAGGAUGAACUGCAAAUAUUAAAAUUAGUACAACCUUUUCAAUUUGCAUUCACUUGCACCCUCUUUUAGAGUCUGCAGUUUACAAAACGCCGUGCAUAGCGUGUGGGGCUGAGUAUCUGCAAAUUCUGUUGCUGCUACCCACCACCCUACCAUAUCAAGUCCCCUAGUGGUUUCCAAAUUAUUUGGAAAGCAAACACAAAUGGAACAGAAAGUUAGAUGAAUGAAAACUUUCCUUCUGAAUUUCCAUGAGUACUCAGGGAAAUAUUUCUGUUCCAUAUUCAUUUUUGAACUUAGAAAAAAAAAGGCAAAUGGAUAGUAUGACAUUAUUUUGGUACCUAUCACACUACUGCUAUUUGUCAUUAAAAAGAAAAAAUUGGGGUGUGGUAUGAUGUUGUUCAGUCGUUAGAAUUCAUUUCUGCCCGCUUUGCAUUUAAGUUAAUAUCAGUUGUUUGAUAGAGAUACCUGUUUUCUGCUACUUUCCAUUACUAGUCUUGAGGAAAAAACAUUUGAAUUAAAAAAUUACUUAACAAAGACAUCUGUCAGGGGUAAUCCAUUCUUUGGACACUGAUCUAGCACUGGUAGUGAUGUGAUUCUAAUGUAGUCUUACUGCUGCAUUUACAAAUCUAUCAAUUUGUCAGCAGACUUUUUGAUUAAAGGAAUUGUCUAUUUUUGCUAAUGGGUUCAUGGACUUGCUCCAAAUGCAUUUAAAUAAGUGUAUUUCCUCUUGGAUUUGAGUUCUUCAUUUAUUCUUUUCCUUACAGUUGGUUUUCAUUGCUCUUUCCAACCAUCAAACAAUAUAUUCUAUUGGUCUCAGGGGACACGAUGGAUGCAUGUCAGGGAUCCAGAUUGGGUCCCUGGUUGUCAGGUUGGUCCCUAUACAAAUAGGUAAUUUAGGAGCUGGUUCCAGGAGAACUCCUUUAGGAGGUUCACCAUUUCUGUUAUGGCCUUAGCAGUCCAGCAGUCUUUUGAUACUUCUGCUUAGUCACCUGAUGUCCCCUGUUGUUCCUGCCCCUGGUCAUCUAUUCAUUCUGUCCCUGAUGGGAUGACCUUUAUCCACUAAACUUUUUUUGUGUCUUUUGGCUGACUCGUUUUUCUUGUUCCUGAAAUAUUCCCUGCUUUCUAUUUGCAGUCUUCCCAGCAAAUUCUCUGUAGAUGUUGGUGCAGAGGGUAUCUGAAAGGUAUAUGUGAAAGUGAGCUCCUUUUGCCUCUCAGAAGAUAACUUGGCACAUUGUCUAUUGUGUGGCUUCCCACAACUACUGUUAAAUGUCCCCUGCUUGCACCAGAGACUUAACUUAUAUUAGCCAAAUAGGAAAUCUGAUGGGCAGUGAUUUCUCAUCUAUGGAUUUGCCGGGUUCUUUGCAGUUUCUCCGCUAUGGGCUAGUUCAUGACAUAGACUGCUUGGAGCAUUACUCAUUCAUUCUGAAUACAAGUAUUUGCAUAAUUUUAAAGGAAAAACAAUAUACAUUGUAAUAGAAACACAAUAGUUUUUUUCCCAGAAGCACGUACUUCACACAGUGUUGAUGUUUCUUUUAAAUUCUACUCCUUAUGUGUCUGGUACUAUAGAUAAGUAUUACAGAUAGCUGAUGGGGUUUUGUAUAGGAACUGGGUAGGGAGAGGACUGAGCUGUCUGGACACAAAUUCCUCAGUAACCACAAAUCAGGAGAUGGCUUCUUUGUGGAGGUAAAGUCAAGGAGGAGAAACCACAUGGAGAAAAAUAAAAAUGUAUUUAUUUAUACGUUUUAAAAAAUAAACAUAAUGUAGUA